UCCCAUGUGGUCUAGCGGCUAGGAUUUGUCGCUUUCAAGCACAGCUGUGCUAAGAUCCGACAAGGCCGGGGUUCGAUUCCCCGCAUGGGAA